UACGUAGGGGGCGAGCGUUGUCCGGAAUCAUUGGGCGUAAAGCGCGUGUAGGCGGCCCGAUAAGUCCGCUCUGAAAGUCCAGGGCUCAACCCUCGGAUGCCGGUGGAUACUGUCGGGCUUGAGUACGGAAGAGGCGAGUGGAAUUCCUGGUGUAGCGGUGGAAUGCGCAGAUAUCAGGAGGAACACCUAAGGCGAAGGCGGGUUGCUGGGCCGACACUGACGCUGAGGCGCGAAAGCCAGGGGAGCAAACGGG
rnacentral:rRNA from 1 species